rnacentral:tRNA from 1 species
GCCUCUGUAGCUCAGUUGGUUAGAGCGCUGCUCCGGAAUCGCAGGGCCGUAGGUUCGAUUCCUACCAGAGGAU